GACAAGGCUGGUUUUGUGGGCAUGCAAUCUGUCCAGUGGAACAGGACCUCAGAAGGACUCUGAGGUCCUAGUUUCUUUCCUGUGCAGCAUUGUUAAUAAAUUCUGAAAGGGCCCACAUAUUUCCGUUUUGCACUGGGCCCUGCAAAUGAUGUGGCCGAUCUUCUGAAAAGAGUGGUAGGUGAAGUGACCUCUAUUGGAGCCGAUGUUAUAAAUAUAGAUGCCACUCAGGAGACUACCUGUCAGCAUUUGUCCCCGUGGCCCAGGCCUAUUUGGCCAUAGUGACCUAUGGACUGAACUAAUCUGUGGAGCUGUGGAUCGACUGGAAUUCGGGUGAAGGCUCUAAAAAACAGUUCAACAUGAUGAUGUAGGAAGAGCCUGAACUCACCUCCUCCCAGAGACACACCAAGUCUACAGCUGCUUAUGGUACAGUUCACUCCAAAAAAGACGUGAAAAUUAGCUGAGUAACUCCUUCACCUCAGCAAACACAUCAAAGCAGGGCCAUCCCAGGAUUCUUGGAAGGUGGAGGCAAAUGACAUCAGAGCCGUUCUUAAGGACAUUCUGUGG